ACAGCCAUCAUUGAGUCCAUCCUCCAUCACCAUCUGCAGCUGCCUGUGUGGUGGGAAGUAAAAGAGGAGGACAAGGAUGAGGAAGAGGAGCUGUUCCUCUCUGGUGGGCGAUGACAUCCCAGCACCUGCGCGGAGACAGGAGCAGCUGAGGAGAUCCAUCCAGGGGGCAGUUUGUUUUCCAGAGAGGAGCGGCAACGGCGGCGGGCCCCUUGAUUUAUUAGAACCGUGAGCCGAGCGACCGUGAUGAAGUGCAUUUCCACUUUAAAAAAGACUACACAGCUUCGUCUGGAGAGGGGAGGAAGAAAGUCAAAGAGCGGAGAAACACACGGGGAGAGAACAGUCUCGUGACGGAGAAGAGAAGAGAGAUACGACAGACAUGCAUCGAGUUUUUAGUUUAUCCAAUUAUAAAAAGCAUUUUCAAAUUCCAUAUUUUAU